GAUGAACGCUAGCGACAGGCUUAACACAUGCAAGUCGAGGGGCAGCGGGGGUAGCAAUACCCGCCGGCGACCGGCGCACGGGUGAGUAACGCGUAUGCAACUUACCUAUCAGAGGGGGAUAACCCGGCGAAAGUCGGACUAAUACCGCAUGAAGCAGGGAUCCCGCAUGGGAAUAUUUGCUAAAGAUUCAUCGCUGAUAGAUAGGCAUGCGUUCCAUUAGGCAGUUGGCGGGGUAACGGCCCACCAAACCGACGAUGGAUAGGGGUUCUGAGAGGAAGGUCCCCCACAUUGGUACUGAGACACGGACCAAACUCCUACGGGAGGCAGCAGUGAGGAAUAUUGGUCAAUGGCCGAGAGGCUGAACCAGCCAAGUCGCGUGAGGGAUGAAGGUUCUAUGGAUCGUAAACCUCUUUUAUAAGGGAAUAAAGUGCGGGACGUGUCCCGUUUUGUAUGUACCUUAUGAAUAAGGAUCGGCUAACUCCGUGCCAGCAGCCGCGGUAAUACGGAGGAUCCGAGCGUUAUCCGGAUUUAUUGGGUUUAAAGGGUGCGUAGGCGGCCUUUUAAGUCAGCGGUGAAAGUCUGUGGCUCAACCAUAGAAUUGCCGUUGAAACUGGGGGGCUUGAGUAUGUUUGAGGCAGGCGGAAUGCGUGGUGUAGCGGUGAAAUGCAUAGAUAUCACGCAGAACCCCGAUUGCGAAGGCAGCCUGCCAAGCCAUGACUGACGCUGAUGCACGAAAGCGUGGGGAUCAAACAGGAUUAGAUACCCUGGUAGUCCACGCAGUAAACGAUGAUCACUAGCUGUUUGCGAUACACUGUAAGCGGCACAGCGAAAGCGUUAAGUGAUCCACCUGGGGAGUACGCCGGCAACGGUGAAACUCAAAGGAAUUGACGGGGGCCCGCACAAGCGGAGGAACAUGUGGUUUAAUUCGAUGAUACGCGAGGAACCUUACCCGGGUUUGAACGCAUUCGGACCGAGGUGGAAACACCUUUUCUAGCAAUAGCCGUUUGCGAGGUGCUGCAUGGUUGUCGUCAGCUCGUGCCGUGAGGUGUCGGCUUAAGUGCCAUAACGAGCGCAACCCUUGCCACUAGUUACUAACAGGUAAAGCUGAGGACUCUGGUGGGACUGCCAGCGUAAGCUGCGAGGAAGGCGGGGAUGACGUCAAAUCAGCACGGCCCUUACAUCCGGGGCGACACACGUGUUACAAUGGCGUGGACAAAAGGGAAGCCACCUGGCGACAGGGAGCGAAUCCCCAAAACCACGUCUCAGUUCGGAAUCGGAGUCUGCAAACCCGACUCCGUGAAAGCUGGAUUCGCUAGUAAUCGCGCAUUCAGCCAUGGCGCGGUAAAUACGUUUCCCGAGCCC
rnacentral:rRNA from 1 species